UACGGAGGGUGCAAGCGUUAUCCGGAUUCACUGGGUUUAAAGGGUGCGUAGGUGGGCAGGUAAGUCCGCGGUGAAAUCCCCGAGCUUAACUUGGGAACUGCCGUUGAUACUAUCUGUCUUGAAUAUCGUGGAGGUAAGCGGAAUAUGUCAUGUAGCGGUGAAAUGCUUAGAGAUGACAUAGAACACCAAUUGCGAAGGCAGCUUGCUACACGAUAAUUGACACUGAGGCACGAAAGCGUGGGGAGCAAACAGGAUUAGAUACCCUGGUAGUCCACGCCCUAAACUAUGGAUACUCGACAUCAGCGAUACACAGUUGGUGUCUGAGCGAAAGCAUUAAGUAUCCCACCUGGGAAGUACGAUCGCAAGAUUG
rnacentral:rRNA from 1 species